AAUGUUACAUUUGUAUCAUAGUUUUCUUUAUAAUGAGUAUUUUCAAAUACUUAUCUUUAUACUGUAAUAUUGCUCCUCAGCAAAGGAUCAGAAUAUAUGUUACUUAACAUUGAUGUUAACUCUGGUUUCUCCAAUCAUUGCUAUCAAAAAGAUCGUCUAUGUGGGGUCACCUGUUGGUAACAGCAACAGUUAACAUUAUCAAAAUAUGUAGUGUAUCAAGUAAUAUGGUGUAGUGGCAUUAUAGUGUUUGCUAAAAUUCAUACAGCCAAAGGUCGAGGAAUACAUGUGACAAAGAUAAAUUUGAAUCCAAAUAAUUUGGCAAAUUAGCAACACUGCUAAUAGGAUGCUAGCUAGCUAACAUUGUGUAACGUCUGGAAAAACCCCGGUAAAAUAAUAGUAACUCCCGACAAUACUCCAAUCAUAUAUGUACCAUUUACAUGGCUUAUAAUUAAUAAGCCUCCUGACUAGUAAAAUCAAGACUUACAUACAGGGCUUUCUUUGGGCGGCUGCAAGACCCCAAACAACAGAAAGACCCAGAGAAACCUAGAGAAGCAAACGAUGACGAGAGAACAGGCCUGAUGAAGAGAUGAGCGAGAGCUCCGAGUAACAAAUAGUUGUGUUUGGGAGACUCCAAGACCCCAAAUGAUUUCAAAGAGCCCAGAGGAGCCCAAAGAUGAGACACAGGAGGAGAAACAACCUCAGGAUGCAAAGAGAGAUGAGUGAAGCAAAAUUUCAAUCCUGACAUGGAAGAGCAAGUUGAGGCACAUAUGAGGGCAAUAUGUACAAUAACAAUGUGUAACCAAAAGAAGUAAACUGGCUUCAGAGAUAGUCUACUGUAUGUUUAUUAUGUAGUAAUGUAUGCUAACGCCACUAUAUUUCAGUAGCUUGUGUGCAGUGUCUGCAGUGAGAAAGUGUAACCACUAAUCUUAAAUGGCUCUCUAGAUAUUGUAUGCUUCGAUAAGAAUAUAGUGCUGUUGUAAAUGCAGAUUAUUCAUCUCAGAAUCAGAGACAGGUAUAUUUGAACUGUUUGUGUUUUCACUGGUAGCUGGUGGCAUGUCUUCUAAUCUUAUUGUCCUUUCUCUUCAGGUUUCACUGGUCCAGCCUCAUUACACAGUUUAUAAUGAAAGAAAUCCUACCAUGGUCUCUGUCUCCUCUCCGGCCUCAGCAGCAGCAAACUAACAAAGUGUCUGAGCUGCAGAGAAGAUGCUCUUGAAAUCUGAUGGUUACCUAGCUGGUGAAGGAGAAAUCCAAAAAGCAAGCAGAGAAGCAGGAGUCCAGCUGUGAAGACAUGCAGACCACACUAUACUUUACAAUCCGAGUGCAAACAGAGGACCUGACUGAACGCUGCAUUGAAAGAAGCUGGGGACAAGUUGGCAGAGAACAUACAGAGCACUCAAUGGAAGAUUUGAUGACAAACUGUAUAAAGCGUUCCUCAAAUAAAAAGUUAAUACAUGAA